GGAGAGGAGGGUGGGGCUAGGCCAGGACCUUGGGGUGCCUCGUGCCCUGUCAGGGCAUCCACCUCCUCUCCACCGCCUGACCCUGCCAUUUCCUGACACAGGGAGACAUCAGCCCUGCCUGGACCCUCAAAGCCUGGGAGGCAAAGCUUCUGCAUCCUCCGGCCCCUUUGUCUCGGGAUCCAGACCCACUGAAUUGUUUCAUUUGCCCAAAUGCACCCAGCUGUCUCAUGACCCUGACACAGAUCCUGCCUUCCCUGAGCUGGAAACUCUUAUGCCCAACCCGGCCUCCCCUUUCAGGUGUCAACUCACCUGUCACUUCUUCUGGGAGAGGCUUCCUGGUCAUGUCCCAGGAAAGGGGGCCCCACUGCAUGUCCCUCAGCUCCCUGCACUGCCUCUACCCCCAAGGUCUCAGCCUGCUCACUUCCCUCCCUGCAUCUAGCUGUGGGCUCGGUGAAGGAGGGCCCUCCUGUUUCUAUUGUCCCUCUGCCCCCAGUGCCAGCAGAGGGCCCGGCACGCAGGAGGGGCCUCUAAACGUUGGACAAAACCACAAAGGAAUGGCCAAGGGACAGGAGCCUCCAGGAGGCAGAUCUUCGCUGGCCCUAAGGGAAGCUUUCUGACUUUGCUAGUGCCACCCUGAGCAGGCCCCAGAUGGACAGACCCUGGCACAGCAGUUUCAGCAGUUUCUGCCUCUGUUGAUUGGGACCCUGGGAAGAGGGUGAAGCAGAAAGUAUGGAAAAUACCAGGAAGAGGAUAAACCGAGGCUCAGUCCCAAAGCCCAGGACGAGCCCAGACAGCCAAGAAGUGAUGGCCUUCGCUCUUGGGGGUGUUCAAGACUUGGAGGCAGAAUGGUGCUGUCCUGACGAGCUUGGAUUCCAGAAUCAGAAUGAUGGGAAUUAAAAUCCUGACCCUAACACUUUACUGCACCUGCGCCCCAGGAUGGGCGGCUCAGCCUCUCUGAGCCUCAGUUUUUUCAUCUGAAAAAUGGAGAUACUGACAAUUCGAAUUUGUCCUGAGACCCGCCUCAGUGGGAGGAAGCCACGGUGUCCGCUCAGCUACCACCACACCUCAAGGGAACACCUUAUCAAAUCAGGCCAUGCGUCUACGGAGGACUCAGAAAAAAGCCCCUGAGGCACGGACUCUUCCUCUUUUACGAGGAUACAUCUGAUCAUCAUUUCUGGACUUCCACACCAGGAAAAUUCCUCCUCUAGGGGAUCUUGAGUGUAUCUUCUUAUUGGCAAAAACUGCGAAGCCCACAGUGCUUUCCUUUCUUGCUCUGGCUACUGGGAAGCUCAGACUCACAUUAAUGACCAAUAACAGCAGUAGCUCCUCUUUGGCUUCUGAGGUAAUUCUCUCUCCUCUUCCCACUAGACUAUUCCCCAACUUUCUCUUCAAUGUUCAUGUUUCAGUAUAUAUCGUUUUUCAGAUUUCCAACUUAUACACAGAAAGUGGCUACUCAGCCACCUAACAUUGUCUAGGAAAAAUUUCCAAUUGUGUCCUCAAAAUGCCCACGUGUGUGGGCUCGCAC